UACGGAGGAUGCAAGCGUUAUCCGGAUUUAUUGGGUUUAAAGGGUACGCAGGUUGUUUGAUAAGUCAGUGGUGAAAGUCUGUCGCUUAACGGUAGGAUUGCCAUUGAUACUGUUAGACUUGAAUAUGGAUGAGGUAGGCGGAAUAUGUAGUGUAGCGGUGAAAUGCAUAGAUAUUACACAGAACACCGAUUGCGAAGGCAGCUUACUAAUCCAUCAUUGACGCUGAGGCACGAAAGCGUGGGGAUCAAACAGGA
rnacentral:rRNA from 1 species